UACGUAGGCAGCAAGCGUUGUUCGGAGUUACUGGGCGUAAAGAGUGCGUAGGCGGUGCUCUAAGUUUGGUGUGAAAUCUCCCGGCUUAACUGGGAGGUGCGCCGAAACUGGAGUGCUUGAGUAGUGGGAGAGGCGAAGCGGAAGUUCCUGGUGUAGCGGUGAAAUGCGUAGAUAUCGAGGAGGAACACCUGUGGUGGUAGACAGCUUGGCGUGGACCAUCAACUGA
rnacentral:rRNA from 1 species